AAAACCGGCCCCGACGCCGUCGACACGACCAUGUGCUCUCUGCUCUGCCGUGGCCAGCCGGCCUCCCCCACCUCCACCCAACUGACCCGAUCGAUCCGAAAGGAAAAGGUGUCCUGGUGAUCUCUGCUAUAAAAUAGUUUAACUUGGAACCGAUGGACGAACGAUCAACCGGAGGAGGGAGGACGUGAAAAAGAACACGCACGAUUCACACAAGAACACACAGAUUUACCCAGGUUCGGAGCCCUCUCGUCGAGGUAAGACUCUUACUCCUGUUUUGCUGUAUUAGUCGAGAUAGACAAGCUCUACAAUUGUGCUCCUUGAGCUGUGUUCUUGAGAAAGAAGAAGAAAGAGAAACCCUAAAAUGUCUAAGUGCU